AUGCACAUUUUGAAAGUAAAACACCCCGAAUUUCAAGGGUAAACAGAAAAGCAGAAAAAAUCGUGAAAACACCCCCGUUGAAAAUGUGAGCCAGACGUAACAAAACUGAAUCUGUGGUUUUUGUUGAAAAAAAUGUAAAAUGUGAGCCAGAUUUUUUAUGCCAAAAAUAUAGGAAACAACCCAGUAUUCUUUUAUUGUUAUACAUAUACCCUGGGACCGUAUUCUUUUUUAUUUUUUAUGAUUUCUAAAAAAAUGUGAUAUAUGUAGCUAUUAAAAUUAUUGACUCGAUUGGUAUGCAACCAAUAUUACACGCAAUUUUAUUUUUCAUGUUGGCAUUGGCAAUUCUACGUACAAUCUGAUCUGUCAGUCUGUCACCAUCAGCUGUUUUCUUUACUCAUUUAUCUAAUUGUCUACUUGAAAUCUGUGACUUGAUACUAGACUUUUAAAAUCGCUGUAGCCCGACAAUUAAAUUAAACCUGAUCUUUCUUCCCCUACCACUUUGUUAAUCACCCCCCCCCCACAACUGAUGAUUGUCAGUACUGCCAAAUGUUUUUGGUUAUGUUUUGAUGGUGUUUUCAUUAUCAAGUAAGAAAUGAACUGUAAUUACCGAAAAUAAUUAAUAACGUAAAGAAAUAAUUCAAAAACAAUAAUUGUAGUGUCAGUUGUUGUGUUGUAAGGUAAAUAAACGCGUCUCCACGAUCAGCUGAUCGGCUUCUCGGAUUAUUGCCUGUGAAGGUGGCGCAAUUGUUGGAAAGCAGUGAAAGCACGUGUAUUUCAUUUGUCGAGUGUGUCGAGCUACACGUCAUUUUCAAAGGGGAAGUUUUAAGAAGUCUCUUGAUCUAGGUUCACGAAAGCGAGAAAAAUCAUGCCAACAAGAUUUGAAGACAUUCUAAAGGACUUGAAAUUAGACUCUAAGGAUAGACAAAUACUUGAAUUGUGCCAUAAGCAUGAGUUGGAGUUAAG